GACAGAGGAUGCAAGCGUUAUCCGGAAUGAUUGGGCGUAAAGCGUCUGUAGGUGGCUUUUAAGUCCGCCGUCAAAUCCCUGGGCUCAACCCUGGACAGGCGGUGGAAACUACCAAGCUGGAGUACGGUAGGGGCAGAGGGAAUUUCCGGUGGAGCGGGUGAAAUGCGGUAGAGAUCGGAAAGAACACCAACGGCGAAAGCAACUCUGCUGGGCCGACACUGACACUGACGAGACGAAGCUGGGGAGCGAAUGGG
rnacentral:rRNA from 1 species